AUGAGCGGAAGAGGUCGUCUACUGGACGCGGUUCAACUAGCGGAGACUCUUGGAAAAGAUGGACUAAAAAGUCCCCAAGUUAGCAUAUUAUGGGGGACCGUCAAGCACAUCCGGCAAAGAUCGAGGGGGAUCUCGUUGUUGCAUAGCUCAGGUCAGAGCAAGGUGCCAUCAGGCGUUCAACAUGCAGUCUCACGAUCGGGCAUGAGUGUCCUGAAGAAGAAAUUGUAUACUCCCUUUGGUCGGAAGGCGGCGGGGGAAGGAAGGGGACACUGGGCGGGAUCUUUCAGCAGCGAAUUCCCCAUACAGAUAGAGGCGCCUAUCAAAAAGAUACUCCGAAGGCUUUGGGAUCGAGGUCUCAUUAGCCGAAGAAGACCUAGGCCAAUCCACGUGGCCUCUUUGACCAACGUCAGCGACAGAGACAUAGUAAAUUGGUCCACGGGCAUCGCGAUAAGUCCUCUGUCCUACUACAGGUGCUGCAAUAACCUUUACCAAGUCCGAACGAUUGUCAACUACCAGAUCCGCUGGUCCGCUAUAUUCACCCUAGCCCACAAGCACAAAUCUUCAGCGCGGAAUAUAAUCCUAAAGUACCCCAAAGACUCAAAUAUAGUCAAUCAAGAAGGUGGUAAGACCCUUGCUGAGUUCCCAAACAGCAUAGAGCUUGGGAAGCUCGGACUCGGUCAAGAUCCGAACAACGACGGAGCACUCAACUACAUGUUUAAUAAGUAG
rnacentral:rRNA from 1 species